CAUAAUUAAAAUGUUAUUCUCAAAUUUGGUAUUACUUAGACAUUGUGGACAGAAAGAGAAAGCUGAUUAAAACUAUCAAAUUUGAGACUAAGGUAGCAAUUUGUAAAAAGGGUGCCCUGAAUGUGUUUGAUAAAUGCCUUAGGAAAAUGCCAAAAAUAUUUUUGAUUUGGAAAGGAAAUGAACCUGGUUACCAGCCCAUAAGUCCUCUGCUCUGGUAUUACCCACCAAACAGCCCUCUACUUCCUUUGAUAUACGUUUCCGUUGACAGGAGAUUCCUUAAUUUUUAUUUUUAUUCUAAAUAAUUUGCUAAAACAUUUUUGGAAAAACUGAACUGGAUGUAUCCCAAGAUAAUCAUUUCAAUAACAAAGAUGUAGAGUUGUAGCACAGAAAUAUAUUAGGAUUUAAGUAGGGGAACCAUGAGAGAACAUGUUGUCCCAAAUCAACAGUUGCACUAAAACAGUGAAGCCAACGUUCCUUCUGUAUUAAUAUGGUGGCCCUUAUAAACAACACAGGAGCAAUAAUUAAUGAUAUGCCAAAUCAACUAAUGCAAUAUAGAUUAAGUGUAAGGCGCUUAAUGUUUCAAGUGCUGUAAGUGGCACAGAGAUCCCCCCUCCAUUUUAACACCUUAUCUCCUUUCCAGAUGAUGUCCACAGUCAUUCAACACCACAGCCAUGCAUAUCUCUGACCUCGGGACACAGAUCUGCACUCCUAUGACUCCUACAAUGGCUGCUGGUCCUCCCUGCUUUGCCCCCCGUCCACGCACACACACCAUGUCUUUUCAUUCUUCUGUGACUACCCAUGCUGCUUCCUUUGAGCACCCAGGGACCCCAUCCAUUUUGGAGAAACCAACUCUGCUUUUCACUCCCGCAGAAGUCCAUGUGUCAUCUUCUCAUUAUGUGGCAAACACCAAACUGACUCGCUUUUGGUAUUCCUGGAAGCUGCACUUGGCUUUGAUAAUCUACAGUCAUUUUUCAGGUAACUGAUGUCAAGUGGGAAUGUGCUGGGGUAGAGGAGGCCUGAGCCAUUUCAAUCAAUGUCAGGAGUGAAAUUCAGAGCAACUAACAGAUAUAUAUUCCUUGUCUUCUCCUGGUGCUGUGAAAAUUGAUCUCUAAAAUGCUUUGACUCCAGGUGAAAGUAGUUGUAUAUCAUAAAAGCGGCCUUGCAAAUAUCCUCUCACCCAAAGUAAGUAACAAUUUUUGAUGGGCAAAUAGGUAAGAAAACUUAUCUUUAUUUUAUGAUCUUUGGCUAUUGGAGUAGAGAGCAAGCUAGGGAAACAGUUUUAUUUAUGUUUGUGAUCACUCACCAGCCUGGAUUACUUCUUUGUCUUACACAUAGUUGUAUGAUUUCAUGCAUAAUCACUUUAUUCAUCUUCUCCCAUCCCAGGCUUUAUCAAGCUCCAUGAGAGCAGGAAUGAUGCGGAGGGAUGUUCCUGCCCAGGAGCAGCUACUUAAUAUACACCUGAAAGGAAAUUGGUACAUCUGGCGUGUACAUCUGAUAAAGAGGUGUCAGUUAUUAAGGAUCAGCCUGAAGAGGGUGCCUUGAGGGGUCAGUUUUCCUUUAGAUAAUAAACAGUUUUCCCAAUCACAGAGAUUACAUUGGGGGAAGAAAUUGAACUGAGUGUUGAUAACAAGUCUGUAGUUCAGAGUAAAUUUCACAAAUUCACCUGGCCAUAUUUUGCAACUGCUUCUCAACUGGAUCUAGAAGCAGACAGAGCAGCAUUUAAUAAGCACUUAUCCAAGUAAGCCCUGGUGCCAAGAUUUAAGUAUCAAAGAACAAAACCUUGUCCCAGCAUGGUAGCUGGCACUAGGGUAAAGCACAAGAGGUGCUAUUUUUGGGUACAAAAUUUAACAGGGUACUGAGAAACC
rnacentral:lncRNA from 1 species